rnacentral:rRNA from 1 species
AUUGAACGCUGGCGGCAGGCCUAACACAUGCAAGUCGAGCGAGCGGCGGACGGGUGAGUAAUGUAUGGGGACUGCCCGAUAGAGGGGGAUAACUACUGGAAACGGUAGCUAAUACCGCAUACUAUCGGAUAACCCAUAUGGGAUUAGCUAGUAGGUGAGGGAAUGGCUCACCUGGGCGACGCUCCCUAGCUGGUCUGAGAGGAUGAGCAGCCACGCUGUGACUGAGACACGGCCCAGACUCCUACGGAGUCAGCAGUGGGGAAUAGUGCACAAUGGGGGAAAGCCUGAUGCAGCCAUGCCGCGUGUAGGAAGAAGGCCCUAGGGUUGUAAAGUACUUUCAGUCGGGAGGCGUUACCGACAGAAGAAGCACCGGCUAACUCCGUGCCAGCAGCCGCGGUAAUAC